GAUAAACUCGGGGGACUGCUGACUAUAACCAUUUCUCAAAACAGAGGAAGGUUGCGGCAAUAACAGGUCUGUGAUGCCCUCAGAUGUCCCGGGCUGCACACGUGCUACAAUGAGUGGCGCAAUGUGCUAAUGUUUAAGGGAUAAGAGUGUGGUCAGUAGAACGUCGGGAUUUCCCCUGACGUCUCCCCCGCACGAUUAUCAGCCUUCCCUUAACAGGGCGGGCAACCUUUUCAAAAUACUGGUUUGAUGUUAAAGUAUUGAGUCGUUUUUUUUGGAUGGUGGUUUGUUAACCAAUACCAUCCGGCAACUGCUCGCGAGUUUGUGGUUCUGGCGACUCAUGGUGGGGACCGACGUUUGUAAUUUUUUGUCGCGUGUUAACUAGGAAUGCCUUGUACUGUCGAUUCA
rnacentral:rRNA from 1 species